UAAAUAUUCGCCGUCCCUGUACACAAGGUGAUUGUACAUUUUGUGAAUUGAAUAUAACAUUACUCGAGCCGGCUCUUUCUUCAUUCACUCCGGUGCUCUCUAAUAGUCAAUGUCAAUAACAAUAUUUGCCUCAAAUAAUAACAUUUAAGUGACCUACUAAAGCCAGAUUUGACGACCAAAAGGAGAAAGAAGAACGAUACAGGAAUGUUGGAAGAAGUGACUAAAAACACAGCUAGGAAUAUUACAAAUGGCAUUUUACUACAAGUUUGUGAUUUGCAAAAAGUGGAGAAGUGCGACAAAUCUAAAGAAAAAGAAAAAGACGCUUCACCUGAAAAAA
rnacentral:lncRNA from 1 species